UACGUAGGGUGCAAGCGUUGUCCGGAAUUAUUGGGCGUAAAGAGCUCGUAGGCGGUUUGUCGCGUCUGCUGUGAAAACUCGGGGCUUAACUCCGGGCCUGCAGUGGGUACGGGCAGACUAGAGUGCGGUAGGGGAGACUGGAAUUCCUGGUGUAGCGGUGAAAUGCGCAGAUAUCAAGUGGAACACCAGUGGCGAAGGCGAGUCCCUGGACAAUACCUGACACUGAGGCACGAAAGCUAGGGGAGCAAACAGG
rnacentral:rRNA from 1 species